UACGAAGGGAGCUAGCGUUGUUCGGAAUCACUGGGCGUAAAGCGCACGUAGGCGGAUGUGUCAGUCAGCGGUGAAAUCCCGGAGCUCAACUUCGGAACUGCCCUUGAUACAGCACGUCUUGAGUCCGGAAGAGGUGGGUGGAAUUCCUAGUGUAGAGGUGAAAUUCGUAGAUAUUAGGAAGAACACCGGUGGCGAAGGCGGCCCACUGGUCCGGUACUGACGCUUAGGUGCGAAAGCGUGGGGAGCAAACAGG
rnacentral:rRNA from 1 species